GCGGGUGUGGCGGAAUUGGCAGACGCACCAGAUUUAGGAUCUGGCGCUCGAGUAGCGUGGGGGUUCAAGUCCCUUCACCCGCA
rnacentral:tRNA from 1 species